GUGCUCACUUGGGCAGCAGAGACACUAAAAUUGGAACAGUACAGAGGAUUAGCAUGGCCCUUGCACAAGGUGGUUUAAAAAAAUAAAUUUUUUUUUUUUUU
ensembl:snRNA U6 U6 spliceosomal RNA